UCCAGAUUUGGAGGCUCUCCCGUCCAUAACUCCUGUGGGGUCUUAAACCCUAUACUGCUGGAUGGAGACCUAUUAAUCAGAUAAGCUACAGUACUUGCAGCUUCAGCCCAAAAACCUUUCGCAAGGCCAGAGCUAAUCAACAUACACCUAACUUUGUUCAUUAUGGUCCUGUUCAUUCUUUCAGCGACCCCAUUUUGUUCAGGUGUGUAUUUAACAGUUCUGUGUCUUGUUAUACCUUUCUGCUUGCAGAAGUUGUCAAAUUCGCUAUUACAGAAUUCAAGCCCAUUAUCAGUUCUUAACGUUUUAAGUUUCUUAUCUAACUGAUUCUCAACAGACUUUAACCAAAUCCUGAAUUUUCCAAAAGUUUCCGACUUAGCCUUCAAAGGAUAAAUCCAAACCUUUCUUGAGUAAUCAUCC
rnacentral:lncRNA from 1 species